rnacentral:rRNA from 1 species
GACGAACGCUGGCGGCGUGCUUAACACAUGCAAGUCGAACGGAAAGGCCCUGCUUUUGUGGGGUGCUCGAGUGGCGAACGGGUGAGUAACACGUGAGCAACCUGCCCUUGACUUUGGGAUAACUUCAGGAAACUGGGGCUAAUACCGGAUAGGAGCUCCUGCUGCAUGGUGGGGGUUGGAAAGUUUCGGCGGUUGGGGAUGGACUCGCGGCUUAUCAGCUUGUUGGUGGGGUAGUGGCUUACCAAGGCUUUGACGGGUAGCCGGCCUGAGGGGGUGACCGGCCACAUUGGGACUGAGAUACGGCCCAGACUCCUACGGGAGGCAGCAGUGGGGAAUAUUGCACAAUGGGCGGAAGCCUGAUGCAGCAACGCCGCGUGCGGGAUGACGGCCUUCGGGUUGUAAACCGCUUUCGCCUGUGACGAAGCGUGAGUGACGGUAAUGGGUAAAGAAGCACCGGCUAACUACGUG